AUGAAAACAGAAAAAAAGGAAGAAAGAGUGAAGAACGCGAUUCACCAUCUUCAUCUCCCUCCUUCUCCUUCGACUGGUUCAAGGCACGAGAACCAAGAAAACAAAACUCAACACCUCCAUCUCCUCCCUUCUUCUUCAUCUGAAUUGAACACUCAAACCAAGAUUUUGCAACACCUUCCUUCAUCUCCCUCCUUUUCCUUCGUCUGGUUCAAAGCACUCAAACCAAGAAUUUCAACACAACUCACUCAACCACCAUUACAUUUUCUGCCAAAACCUCUUCUAUUAAUACUGAACUCUCUCACCAAAUUACUUAAGCAAAACAACUCAAAAGACUCCAAUUUCGUAGACGAGGAAUACCAGGAGUGCUAAUACGUUCGUGAACUUAACUUUUGGGCACGCGUCACGAGGUGGGUGAUCGAUCGGGGGAACAAAAGGGAGAUCAUUUAGAGUUGUCAUCCACUUAGCAUAUAAUUAUCUUUCGCUGGAACUCUGAAACACUUAAUUAAUUAGCAAUGUUUAAUGAACGAUUCACUUGGUUGUAAGGAUCAAUGAAUUUGAGUUUAGUUUGUUUUUAACUUAGCCUUGCAUUUAUUUCCAAGGAGAUAAGUGCGGCGGUAGCGCCACCCGUCGAGUCGAACCCUCGUGGA